AUUGAACGCUGGCGGAAUGCUUUACACAUGCAAGUCGAACGGUAGAGGGGCAACCCUUGAGAGAGGCGAACGGGUGAGUAAUGUAUCGGAACGUGCCCAGUCGUGGGGGAUAACGUAGCGAAAGUUACGCUAAUACCGCAUACAAUCUAAGGAUGAAAGCGGGGGAUCGCAAGACCUCGCGCGAUUGGAGCGGCCGAGAUCAGAUUAGGUAGUUGGUGAGGUAAAGGCUCACCAAGCCGACGAUCUGUAGCUGGUCUGAGAGGACGACCAGCCACACUGGGACUGAGACACGGCCCAGACUCCUACGGGAGGCAGCAGUGGGGAAUUUUGGACAAUGGACGAAAGUCUGAUCCAGCCAUUCCGCGUGCAGGAUGAAGGCCUUCGGGUUGUAAACUGCUUUUGUACGGAACGAAAAGGCUCUGGUUAAUACCCGGGGCUCAUGACGGUACCGUAAGAAUAAGCACCGGCUAACUACGUGCCAGCAGCCGCGGUAAGAC
rnacentral:rRNA from 1 species